GCUGACAUGGUCUAGUGGUUAGGAUUCUGGGUUUUCACCCAGGCGGCCCGGGUUCGACUCCCGGUGUGGGAA